rnacentral:misc_RNA from 1 species
AUGUCUGCUAGAGCUCUAAUGCCUCCUCCGCGGCCGUCAAACAACUCUCUUUCAAAUUCUGUACAUGCCCAAUCAAGGUUUGGAGCUUCAUCAAGCAAAAGUUCAUGGAUGCAGAGAUCUGAAAUUUCUACAUCCAGCAAAUACAUCAAGUAGCAGAAGUGGAUCUUCUUUUAAAGCGGGGGGGUCCUCAAAUACGAGAACAGGCCAUAGUAGUAAUCUAAGUUCAAAUUCUGAUGCACACAAACCCCGAAGGAAGAGGAGGCCUAAGAAGAAAAAACAACAGGCUUGAACUGGAUGAACACAACAUUUAUGCAACUUCACUAUAACCAAUUGAAGUCUAUUAUAUGACAAGACAGUAAUGAAAAACUUUUAUGGUUCUGUUUAACCGUCAUUAUUUGCAUUUUUUGUGGGUAGAUAGUCAGAAGUC